UGUGUGAGCAGGAAGGAGGAGGAGGCAGAGCCCGGCUGCCCCCCCCCCACCCCUCCAGACGCUCGCGGAGCCUCCCCCACGCACCCUCCCCGCCGCCCGGGUCCCUGAGUCGCCGCCUCCUGCCGCCGCCUCUAGCCGCUGCACAUUGUCUGCCCAGCCCUGCGCGGCCAUGCCCCGGGGCUCCUGCUGCUGAAGGACCCGAGCCCUCCUGAGCCCCCCCGCCGCCGCGCCUCCGCCCCCCCGCCGCUUUCUGUCUCCCCCGCCGCGCCUGGGCUGAGCCCCCCUCCCCUGCUCCUCUCCUUCCUCACCCCCCCACUUCUUUCCAGAGCCUGCCUGGCACCCCAGAAACACCCACUGAUGGUGUAGCGCCUCAGGGGAAGAGCUUCUUUAAAACGCUGGGGUUCUUGGAGUGGUCGAAUUUUUCCUGGAAUUGAGUGAGAAAUUCAGAAGACUGAAGCCCAGGCUUACUGUCUACCUUUCACGGAGGCCCAGCCGUGAGAGGACAGAAGAAGGCACGUGGCGAAUCAUGACAGCUGACAAAGAGAAGGACAAAGACAAAGAGAAGGACAGGGACCGGGACCGGGACAGGGAGCGAGACAAGAGAGAGAAAGUGAGAGAGAGUGAAAACUCCCGUCCUCGUCGGAGCUGCACUUUGGAAGGAGGUGCCAAGAAUUACGCCGAAAGUGACCACAGUGAAGAUGAGGACAAUGACAACAACAGUGCAACCACAGAGGAGUCUACCAAGAAAAAUAAAAAGAAGCCGCCGAAGAAGAAAUCUCGCUAUGAGAGAACCGACAAUGGUGAAAUAACGUCCUUCAUCACGGAGGAUGAUGUUGUCUACCGGCCUGGAGAUUGCGUAUAUAUUGAAAGUCGCCGGCCGAACACCCCAUACUUCAUCUGCAGCAUUCAAGACUUCAAAUUGAGCAAACGGGACCAUCUCCUUAUGAAUGUCAAAUGGUACUAUCGCCAGUCGGAAGUCCCAGAUUCAGUCUAUCAGCAUUUGGUUCAGGACCGACACAACGAGAACGAUUCUGGACGAGAGCUUGUUAUUACAGAUCCAGUGAUCAAGAAUCGAGAGCUCUUCAUUUCAGAUUAUGUUGACACUUAUCAUGCUGCUGCCCUCAGAGGGAAGUGUAAUAUUUCCCAUUUCUCUGACAUAUUUGCUGCUAGAGAGUUUAAAGCCCGAGUGGAUUCAUUUUUCUACAUAUUGGGCUACAAUCCAGAGACAAGGAGGCUGAACAGCACCCAGGGCGAGAUCAGAGUUGGACCCAGCCAUCAGGCCAAGCUUCCAGACUUGCAGCCGUUUCCUUCUCUGGAUGGCGACACUGUGACACAACAUGAAGAACUUGUGUGGAUGCCAGGGGUCAAUGACUGUGACCUGCUCAUGUACCUCAGGGCAGCAAGGAGCAUGGCAGCUUUUGCAGGGAUGUGUGAUGGAGGAUCCACAGAAGAUGGCUGCGUUGCAGCCUCUCGCGAUGACACUACGCUCAAUGCACUCAACACACUACAUGAAAGUAACUACGAUGCUGGAAAAGCCCUGCAGCGUUUGGUGAAGAAGCCUGUGCCCAAACUGAUUGAGAAGUGUUGGACUGAAGAUGAAGUGAAACGCUUCAUUAAAGGGCUGAGACAGUACGGCAAGAACUUCUUCAGGAUCCGAAAGGAGUUACUUCCCAAUAAGGAGACUGGAGAACUCAUCACUUUCUAUUACUAUUGGAAGAAAACCCCUGAAGCAGCAAGUUCCCGAGCCCACCGUAGGCAUCGAAGGCAGGCUGUGUUUCGGAGAAUUAAGACUCGAACUGCUUCCACUCCAGUCAACACUCCCUCCAGGCCCCCCUCUAGCGAAUUCUUGGACUUGAGCUCAGCCAGCGAAGAUGAUUUUGACAGCGAGGACAGUGAACAGGAACUGAAGGGUUACGCCUGUCGUCACUGCUUCACAACCACCUCCAAGGACUGGCACCACGGCGGUCGCGAAAACAUCUUGCUGUGCACUGACUGCCGCAUCCACUUCAAGAAGUACGGAGAGCUCCCGCCCAUUGAGAAACCAGUGGACCCUCCGCCCUUUAUGUUUAAGCCUGUCAAAGAGGAAGAUGAUGGACUCAGCGGAAAGCAUAGCAUGAGGACGAGGCGGAGUCGAGGCUCGAUGUCUACACUACGUAGUGGUCGUAAAAAGCAGCCAGCCAGUCCCGAUGGUAGAGCCUCACCCACCAACGAAGACAUCAGAUCCAGUGGCCGCAACUCUCCCAGUGCUGCUAGCACCUCCAGUAAUGACAGCAAAGCAGAUUCUGUGAAGAAGUCCACCAAGAAGAUAAAAGAAGAGGCAUCUUCUCCUCUCAAGAGUUCCAAGCGCCAGCGGGAAAAGACAGCAUCUGACACAGACGAACCAGAGAGAACCACUGCCAAAAAAUCCAAAACUCAAGAGAUCAGCAGGCCAAACUCUCCCUCGGAGGGCGAAGGCGAAAGCUCGGAUAGUCGCAGCGUCAAUGACGACGGGAGCAGCGAUCCAAAGGACAUUGACCAGGACAACCGAAGCACGUCACCCAGUAUCCCCAGCCCCCAGGACAAUGAGAGUGACUCAGAUUCAUCUGCUCAGCAGCAGAUGCUACAGGCGCAACCUCAAGUGCUCCAGGCACAGAAUGUCCCUGCCCAGGCUCCACCUUCUACCCCGCCCGUAUCAACACAGUUACCAACACCCAUACCAGCAGCAUCAAGCACCCCUACAGCUCCCCUGCAGGUUUCACCAUCAGUGUCUCAGCCUCCCAGCCAGCCCCCAGCGCCGCCGCCACCUCACUCGCACAUACAGCAGGCCCCUGCUUUGCACCCUCAGAGACUCCCUUCACCGCACCCGCCGCUACAGCCUUUGACGGUGUCUCAGAGUCAACCCCAGGGUCCUGCCUCGUCGCAGCCACAUUCACAGCCUCCGCUUCAUGGCCAGGUCCAGCCUGUCCCUCAUAACCUGCAGGCCCAGCCUCUCCUGCCUCAUCCGGUACCUCCUCAGCCUUUCCCUCUCCCCUCACAGCCUUCUCAGUCUCAGGUUCCCCUUCAGACACAGGCUGCUUCUCACCCUCAUGCUGCUCUGCAGGUUCAAGCAGUGCAACCUGCCCUGCAAGCCCAGGCUCCCCUGCAGCAAGCUCAGCCCCCUCGGGAGCAGCCCCUGCCUCCAGCACCCAUGGCCAUGCCUCACAUCAAACCCCCUCCUACUACCCCGAUCCCUCAGCUUCCCACUCCCCAGUCCCACAAGCACCCUCCCCACCUCUCCGGGCCGUCUCCAUUCUCCAUGAAUUCCAACCUGCCGCCACCACCUGCUCUGAAACCUCUGAGCUCCCUUUCCACCCAUCACCCUCCUUCUGCGCACCCUCCUCCCUUGCAGCUGAUGCCUCAGAGUCAGCCACUGCAGUCUUCUCCAGCCCAGCCUCCAGUCCUGACUCAGAGUCAGAGUCUUCCACCGGCAGCGAGCCACCCCCCAGCCAGUCUCCAUCAGGUAUCCUCCCAGGCGCCCUUUUCUCAGCAUCCAUUUGUCCCUGGGGGCCCACCUUCCAUCACUCCUCCAUCCUGCCCCUCCACUUCCACACCACCUUCCGUGCCUGGCGUCCCAUCUCAGACAUCUGUCGCCACCUCUGCGGCUUCCAGUGGAAACGUUCCAGUGGUGACGUCCUGCGCAAUACCGCCUAUCCAGAUCAAAGAGGAGGCUCCCGAUGAGGCAGAGGAACCAGAAAGCCCACCUCCCCCACCCAGAAGCCCAUCGCCUGAACCUACUGUGGUCGACACACCGAGUCAUGCCAGUCAAUCAGCCAGGUUCUAUAAGCACCUGGAUCGUGGCUACAACUCAUGCGCAAGGACAGACCUGUACUUCAUGCCUCUGGCAGGAUCCAAACUGGCCAAGAAGAGAGAGGAGGCAAUCGAGAAGGCCAAGCGGGAGGCAGAGCAGAAAGCAAGAGAAGAGAGGGAGAGGGAGAAAGAGAAGGAGAAAGAGAGGGAGAGAGAGCGGGAGCGCGAAAGAGAAGCAGAAAGAGCGGCGGUAGGUUUAUCGGUCUGCCGUGCAGCAUGGCAGAAAGUGUCCAGCUCCUCUCAUGAAGGUCGCCUUGGGGAGCCCCAGCUCACUGGACCAACUCACAUGAGACCUUCAUUCGAACCUCCACCCACAACCAUCGCCGCUGUUCCACCUUACAUAGGUCCAGACACGCCUGCGUUACGGACUCUCAGCGAGUACGCCCGUCCUCACGUGAUGUCACCCACAAACCGCAACCACCCAUUCUUUGUUCCCCUUAACCCCACUGAUCCUCUCCUGGCCUACCACAUGCCCGGCCUCUAUAAUGUGGACCCCACCAUCCGGGAACGGGAGCUCCGGGAGCGCGAGAUCCGGGAGCGUGAGAUCAGGGAAAGAGAGUUGCGAGAGAGGAUGAAACCAGGCUUUGAGGUGAAACCACCCGAACUCGAUGCACUGCACCCAGCUACCAACCCCAUGGAGCAUUUUGCCAGGCACGGCGCACUGACUAUACCCCCAACAGCUGGACCCCAUCCAUUUGCUUCCUUCCACCCGGGUUUGAACCCCCUUGAAAGGGAGAGGCUUGCACUGGCAGGCCCCCAGUUACGGCCUGAAAUGAGCUACCCCGAUAGACUGGCCGCAGAAAGAAUACACGCCGAGCGGAUGGCAUCGCUCACCAAUGACCCACUGGCACGGCUCCAGAUGUUCAACGUGACGCCUCACCAUCACCAACAUUCACAUAUACAUUCGCAUCUACACCUCCAUCAGCAGGACCCGCUACAUCAAGGUUCAGCAGGACCUGUUCACCCGUUGGUGGAUCCCUUGGCAGCUGGACCCCACUUGGCACGUUUUCCCUACCCUCCUGGUACCAUCCCCAACCCACUGCUAGGGCAGCCACCACACGAGCAUGAAAUGCUCCGACACCCGGUCUUCGGUACCCCCUACCCACGAGACCUGCCUGGUGCUAUCCCACCUCCAAUGUCAGCAGCCCAUCAACUGCAGGCCAUGCAUGCCCAGUCAGCAGAGCUGCAAAGACUGGCUAUGGAGCAGCAGUGGUUGCACGGGCAUCCCCACAUGCACGGGGGGCAUCUACCAAGUCAGGAAGAUUAUUACAGAAAAAAAAAACACCUUAUGAACAGAAAUAAGAGAGGAAUUCACCAGCAAGUAAAUCUGAACAAAUUAUUGAUGGGCGACAGUUGAUGAAAGCAUAACUAAUACAGACGCUGGACGAAUGGCUGAGCAGAUCUCGACCGGUCAUUCGACUGAAGAAAGAAGGUGACAAACAGUUGUAAUAAAUUAUUUAUUUGUAAUGCCGGCUAUGGAAACCCCAGUCCUUGGGAAGGAAUGGAACAUUUUUUACGUACAAUAAGAGCUGCAAAAGAAUAUCUUAUAAAGAUUUCUUUAUAUAUUUAAAUCUAAAGAAAACACCCACCUCCCCUACCAACAGCUAAAGACUUACUGGCAUAAAUAGUGUUCAUUUGUAGAGAAGAUUUCUCAAGACUGGUGUGGGCUUCCCUGCAUGACCACCUAUUCAGAAGCCUAUUGAAAAUACAGGACUGUUUGGAAUUCUCAGAGAACUACCCUGCAAUCUUGGGGGGGUUGUUUUUGUUUGAUUGAUUUUGGGUAGGUGCUAGAAUCAGGUUCACAACACGACAGUCACUGUGCGUGAAGAGACACUCAAUGCAUCUAUAUAUAUAUAUAUAUAAAAAAAACGGAAAAAAAUAAGGAUUGCAAGUAGGUGGCAUAACAAGCUCUGAAUUCAAGUGCUAUAAUAAUAAAAAAAAAUUACUUUUAUUUUAAUACACUGUAGGAAAUCUUCAUACUUUUAACGAGAGCUCAGUUCUUCAGCAUGGCUUUUUAAGUCUGUAAAUAAUGUUUUGGGUGGUUGGGGAGGAAAAAUAACCAAACUCCACAAACAUAACAAUCUUGAUUUUCAGUAAUAUCCCAAGUCCUGGUAGUGACAGAAUACAGAGUUGAUUUUUAAUAAAAAAAACAAAUAUAUAUAUAUAAUUAUCCCUUUAAUUAAAGGGAAAUGAGGGGUGUCAAUAAUUUCAAAUGGGCAAAUGCUUGAAAUUUGAUUUGGUAGCAAUUCAAGGCAGUUGCAGGGAUAAUGUUACAAAUGACUGUUUCUGUUCUGUUUUUUCCCCCCCAUUAUCAUUAUACCUUUCCAUUCUGCAGAUGACUUUUGUUGAGUUCUGCUUCUCAGCAAUACAGAUGUCCCUUGGAACUGGCUUGCCCUUUCUGUCUCUAACGUAGAGGUUAUUGUUAAAUUUGGCUGUAGUCUGCCUCCUUCUCUUGUCUUUUAAAAACAAUUGUCUCGCUAAAUUUGUGUUAAGCUAUCUCUUUAAAUUUUAGCAAAUAUUAGCAAAAUUCUAAGAAAUAAUAUCUUCCUUUAAAUACGAUAUGUAGCUCAAACUAUUAAAGUCAGGGUUAUGUGGGUAGAAAAUUGUUGGACGGGCCCACUUUCUCUGGCUUUUGUUUUACAUAUUUCUAAGGAGAGACUAGACAAUUGGACUACAGAGUUGUGUUUUUAAAGUUGUUUCACAAACACCAAUAAUCUAAAUUUAACCUGUCUCGUACUGAAGGCUGCUUGGGGUUUUUUUUUCCUAACCUCUCUUAAGGGUUUGUGUAUCAAGGAACCUGCUGCUGUGAGAUCAGCCAGAGGUGUUCAGUAACAUUGCUGACUCCCAACACAACAGGUUCAUGCUGAAUGGCCCAGAUUGGCUGGAAGAAGAACUUUGCCCAUGUGUAUCCUUGGCUGAUAUAUGGCAAAGGAGAGAGGGCACACACAGUAGAAUAGGCAUAUAUUUUUGUAGAUAGCUUUGCUCACUGCCUAAGCCAAGAUGCACAUCUUUCUUGCACACACCCCCACACACCAAAACCAUAUUUUUGUUGUUGCAUUGGCCAUGUUUUUGAUAAGGCAGAGGGUGGUGGAUCCAGAGAACAUCUGCAUCUGCUGGCCAUGUUUUCUACUGGUACAUAACCUCUUCCAUUCUCUCUCUUAACUCUUUGAGGGCUGUAGCUCUGCUGUGGUAGACUGUUGUAUGUGGUGGUCAUGUCAUAGGACUGUAUUGAGCCAUGUUAGAUAAACUUGUAGUUAAUCAUUCAGCCUUGUGGAAGGCAUGGCAUGAAUGGUGCUUCCACCACCACAUAGGGCAGAAACCAACAUUACCAUGUUGCUACUCCAUUGGCUGCACUGAUGGGUAGGUAAUGGCACCGAUUUAUGAAUUAAAACCUGCAUCAGGGAAUUCCAGGCUUAGUGUAUCCAUCUGUGUAGCAUGUGUGUCCAGGGGAGGAGGGCUUGUUUCAGUUCCAUCUCAUCUCUUUUCUCAUCCUUUCAUUCCAAUUUUCCUUUUAAUGCCAUUUCAGUUCCUUAGAGUGAGUCAGUCCCAUCAGAACUCUGUGUGAACUCCUGUCUGCCAAGACUCCAGUGUUUGACACCUGGGAGUUCUCGGGCUUGGAUACCAAGAGAUUCACCCUAGAACCAGGAACGAUAAUAUUUGUACAUUACUUCCAGUCUCUGUCUCUGGUUGUCGAGUGAAAAAGCAUUAACACCUAUCCAGCAAGUGUCAUGGCAGAGGUGCUCAUAAAAUUUCCCUGGCCAAAAGCAUCAAUGUACUGACGGCUUUAUUUAAGUACAUUUCCAUCAAAAUUCAGUUUUUUUCACUGUCUAGAGGGAAGGGUAGGCAUGACACCACCACCUGUCGCACAUGAUGCUGCCUCCCUAUUUCAGGUUUGUUUGGGUCUUUUUAGUAAAAAGAUGUUGAUUCCUUCGUGUUGUCCUUUCUCUCUCCUUCCAUUUUUCCAAAGAACAAAGUAGUGCUUUGCACUCCCUAUUCAAAAAGCUUUCCCUUGAUCUUUUUUUUUUUUUUUUUGCAGCUCAGUAGAAUCUUUUAUGUUUCUGACAUCGUGGCACAAAGAAGCUCUGAGAUUCUUCCAUCUCAAUCCAAUGAUUAACUACAGCUUUAUUUGCAAUGGCUUUUGAAACCAUCUUGGUGUUCGAUGCCCUGUUGUUAUAACCCAGACCUUUUGGUUUCCUUUCAGAAAUCUCUCUUAUUUUUUCCUGUGUUUUGAAGGUUUUUUUUAUUUUGCUUUAGUGUUUCUGAAACGUCUCUUGUUCUAUGUCGUCAUGGUUGAGCUUGUUUCACUGCACCGUUAAAGCAGAGUGUACAUUCUGACUGCUACAUUUAUAUAUAUCUUGAAGCUUAAUGUAUAUAUGAGUAGUUUGCCAUGGGAUAACACAGUGUAAACAGAGUAGAAACCCAGAAAUCGUGACUUCUGUGUUCUCUCCAUUUGAGUAUUUUGUAAUUUUUUUGAAAUAUUUGUGGACAUAAAUAAAACCAAGCUACACUACA